UGGGGGAUAUUGCACAAUGGGCGAAAGCCUGAUGCAGCGACGCCGCGUGGGGGAUGAAGGCCUUCGGGUUGUAAACUUCUUUUGCUCUGAACAAGGCAUGCCUUUGGGGUGUGUUGAGUGUAGGGGUUGAUCAGCGCCGGCUAACUACGUGCCAGCAGCCGCGGUAAUACGUAGGGCGCGAGCGUUGUCGGGAAUUAUUGGGCGUAAAGGGCUUGUAGGUGGCUGGUUGCGUCUGUCGUGAAAGCUCAUGGCUUAACUGUGGGUUUGCGGUGGGUACGGACUGGCUUGAGUGCAGUAGGGGAGGCUGGAAUUCCUGGUGUAGCGGUGGAAUGCGCAGAUAUCAGGAGGAAUACCGGUGGCGAAGGCGGGUCUCUGGGCUGUUACUGACGCUGAGGAGCGAAAGCGUGGGGAGCGAACAGG
rnacentral:rRNA from 1 species